rnacentral:rRNA from 1 species
UACGUAGGGGGCAAGCGUUGUCCGGAAUCAUUGGGCGUAAAGAGCGUGUAGGCGGCCCGGUAAGUCCGCUGUGAAAGUCCAGGGCUCAACCCUGGGAUGCCGGUGGAUACUGUCGGACUAGAGUCCGGAAGAGGCAAGUGGAAUUCCACGUGUAGCAGUGAAAUGCGUAGAUAUGUGGAGGAACACCGAUGGCGAAGGCAGCCCCCUGGGUCAAGACUGACGCUCAUGCACGAAAGCGUGGGGAGCAAACAGG